rnacentral:lncRNA from 1 species
GGAAGAAAAUUGACGGGAGCACGCCAGAGGAACUCAGGAUGAAGUGAAGAGCCUGCAGUAGGGAGAUCUAGAAGCAUCGGAGCCAUAAAGUAAGGAAGCCUCAAUCAACCCAAGUUCCAGAGGACCCAGUGUGACAGAUACUGGCACAUCCAGGUUGAUAGACUACUGUUCACAAUGGCCACAUUCUGGAGUCAUCCCAGGUGUCCAUCAACAAACGAAUUUGUGAAACGAAUGUGGUGUGCAUGUACAACAAGGAAUUUCAUUCCGCUAUAAAGAACAAAGGAGGAUGAAAUGACAGCCGACCUCUCACGGAGUGCUGAUGACUGAAAGGAAGUGAGUUAAGACUGUCCUCUGUUUGCCACGCCCAUGCCACUGGGACCAGGAACUGUGCAAGUUCUGUGUAAGUUGUACAUCUGAAGGAGACAUUUCACUUCUGGGUGCCACCGUUGCAGGUUGACAGGUACACUGGAUAAUAAUGAGGUGGACCACUCAGAACUGAGCCACACUGUGUGUGACACAGAAGUCAUUAAUGAAGUGAAGAUGUUUAGCCAGGACUGCUGCAGAGACUCCAGAAAUAAGAGUUAUCUUCAAAGACUUGACAGCGGUCACUAGAGAAUAAAAUUAAACUUUUUACAAGAUGACAGAACUAUCUUCUUAAAGAACACGGAAACAAUCUGAGUUACAUUC